UGUGUCAGUUUGUCUUCCUGAUAUAUCGCGAGAUCAGGUUUUUGCCUUGUAGGGGUGUAAAGUAGCAAGCUACAUAUCCACUCGUUAGUGAAAAUACAGUAGUUUUUUUUCCAGAAUUAUUACUUUAGAAGUAGUUUAAAAUUCUCUGCUAUUUUACUCUGCUAUUUAUUAGUGUGUUCGCUACUUCCCGAGCUUACUGAUUUUAUCGGCUCAUGUUCUUUCCUUGUUUUGACUCAAUCGACAGCGAUUGGACUGUUCAUUUGCCAUAGCCAGCCUUAUCAAUGUAUGCUGAUAAUAAAAAAACUACAAGUUGCUGGAGGCCCGCAUUAAUGGUCGCAGGGAGUGCAGAGUCAAUCCCGGAGGCUACGGGCGCGAGGCAGGGAACAACCCAGGAUGGGGCGCCAACCCAUCGCAGCUAACUUCUACUUCAAGAAAUUAAAUGAUGAUUUAUUUGCUAUUUGCACAAGGCGCUGAGAGUGCCACCAGUUUACCGACGACAUAAACGGACGACGCAACCAGACAGCUGUCCAUAUCUCCCAGUGCUGAUAUCACCAGUCUCUCGGAGCCAGCACUCCACCCCACCUUGAUCACAGACCUGCUGCCGAAGUGACUUUUAAAAAAAAAUUUCAAAGCCAGCUUCCUCAAGGGUGGGAGUAGUGUUGACUGAGGAGGCAGACCAGCCACGCUAUCGAUGUCCAAUGAUGCAGGAACACCUUCUUGAUGAGGAACCAUUUCCUAAUGCAGGAACAUGUUCAAACUGGCGCAAAAGAAUCUUGGCAUGCAAACGUGGCGGCACCUGCUGACGAUUCCAGUCUUUCUUCCUCUGAAUGUAGAUUCAACAGACAUCUGUGGCUUCUGAUAUAAACCAAAGCACCUUUUUUUUCAUUAACCUGAAGCAGGAAGGCUCUGACACCGGACCAGGUGAAGCAUUUACGCAGCCGGACCUCAGCUGACCUUCUGACUCCCAGACGAAGCGUCUGUCUGGCAGAGGGCUCGCCCAGGCUGCCUGCCACGCUCCGACUGCCAUUACCGAGAAACCCUGACCUCGCCGUGUCCGUCUCUGACAGGGGCUGUAUGAAGACGGAUCGCUCCGUCUGCACUCCUGUCUGCUCAUCCGCGAGCGUCUUUCCGCGCGGAGUUCGGUGCAUUACUCCCUCCGCUCUGUGCCCCAGUGCUUUGUUACACUUCCUACAAUUCAACCAACUGGAAGACAGUGUGUGGGGCUGUACACAAAAAGCAGGAAAUGCACAUUUACAGUGGGGCAGGAAACCAGAAAAAUAUAUCGUCCAUCAUGUCUAUAUAUAUAGUCUAUAUAUAUAUAUAUAUAUAUAUAUAGGUUUUUAUAUAUAUAUAAACAAUUACAUCGUAUUGCACUUGGUUGAUCUAUUGUAACUGUACUCUAUUGUGUUGUCCUGAAACUACAAUUUGAAGUAUUAUAUUCAAAAGAGUAGAUAUGACAAUGUCAUAAUCACCUUAGAUCUUUAGAAAUGGCACAGCAGAGAUCUGGAACCCUUAGCAAACUGUCAGGGAAAAUUCUGUCUUUUGCCUCGUUUUUAUUCAGAUUGUGCCUGUAUUCUUUCCAACAAAGCGUAUUCAUAAAGGAUGAUGUGCUCUUGUGUUUCACUAAA